rnacentral:tRNA from 1 species
GGAGAGCUGGCCGAGCCCGGUUGAAGGCGCUUGACUCGAAAUCAAGUGUGCCCGUAAGGGUACCGCAGGUUCAAAUCCUGCGCUCUCCGCCA